rnacentral:tRNA from 1 species
CAGAGCGUAGCUAAGACAGAAAAGCAUUUCCCUUACACCGAAAAGUCAUUCGUGCAAAUCGAAUCGCCCUGA